rnacentral:rRNA from 1 species
AUUGAACGCUAGCGGGAUGCUUUAUACAUGCAAGUCGAACGAGUGGCGGACGGGUGAGUAAUAUAUCGGAACGUGCCCAGUAGCGGGGGAUAACUACUGGAAAGAGUGGCCAAAACGGCAAACUAUUGACUCGGCCGAUACCGGAUUAGGUAGUUGGGGGGGGAAAGGCUCACCAAGGCAACGAUGCGUAGCUGGUUGGAGAGGGCGACCACCCACACUGGGACUGAGACACGGCCCAGACUCCUACGGGAGGCAGCAGUUGGGAAUUUUCGACAAUGGGGGAAACCCUGAUCCAGCCAUCCCGCGUGUAUGAGAAGGCCUUCGGGUUGUAAAAUACUUUUUGUAGAGAAGCGGUAUCUACACAAUAAGCCCCGGCUAACUACGUGCCAGCAGCCGCGGUAAUAC